UACGUAGGGGGCGAGCGUUGUUCGGAAUUACUGGGCGUAAAGGGCGCUCAGGCGGCCUUUCAAGUCAGAUGUGAAAGCCCCGGGCUCAACCUGGGAAUGGCAUUUGGGACUGGAAGGCUCGAGAUCGGGAGAGGAGGGUGGAAUUCCCAGUGUAGAGGUGAAAUUCGUAGAUAUUGGGAAGAACACCGGUGGCGAAGGCGGCUCUCUGGACCGAUACUGACGCUGAGGCGCGAAAGCGUGGGGAGCAAACAGG
rnacentral:rRNA from 1 species